rnacentral:rRNA from 1 species
UACAGAGGGUGCAAGCGUUAAUCGGAAUUACUGGGCGUAAAGCGCGCGUAGGCGGUUUGUUAAGUCGGAUGUGAAAUCCCCGGGCUCAACCUGGGCAUUGCAUCCGAUACUGGCUGACUAGAGUGUGGGAGAGGAAGGUAGAAUUCCAGGUGUAGCGGUGAAAUGCGUAGAGAUCUGGAGGAAUACCGAUGGCGAAGGCAGCCUUCUGGCCUAACACUGACGCUGAGGUGCGAAAGCGUGGGUAGCGAACAGG